CUGGAGCCAUCGCGAUUGAUUCCUCCCAUCCCAAGAUGGCUUCUGGGUUCCACUCCUUCCCCAAACACCACGGAUAACACCCCUCCCCCUUUUUUGGAGGCUGACUGAUACCUGGACUUCUGGGUCCUCUUCCCUCCCCGCCCCCGCAUUGCUUCCUCCCUUCUCCCCACCCCUGAGGCUUCCUUACGUCUGCUCCGAGGUGUGGGUCCCCGUCGCGGUUGGGCGGGAGGAGGCGGCAGGGAGCUCCCCUCCGUCCGGAUAGUGGAGUCUCGCUCUCAGUCAAAAUCUCCAACGGGAACUCCUGCUCGUGUAAAAUCGGAGAGCAGGUCAGGAUCUCGUAGUCCAUCAAGGGUUUCCAAACACUCUGAAUCCCAUUCUCGAUCAAGAUCAAAAUCCAGGUCGAGGUCAAGGAGACAUUCUCAUAGACGUUACACUCGAUCCAGAUCCCACUCUCACUCUCAUAGGAGACGAUCUCGAAGUAGAUCAUAUACACCAGAAUACCGGCGGCGAAGGAGCCGAAGCCAUUCUCCAAUGUCUAACCGGAGAAGACAUACUGGCAGCAGGGCAAAUCCAGAUCCCAACACUUGCCUUGGAGUGUUUGGCCUCAGUCUGUACACAACAGAGAGGGAUCUUCGUGAAGUAUUUUCUCGAUAUGGACCACUGAGUGGUGUCAAUGUGGUUUAUGAUCAGCGAACUGGGCGAUCUCGAGGAUUUGCUUUUGUGUAUUUUGAAAGAAUAGAUGACUCAAAGGAGGCUAUGGAAAGGGCAAAUGGAAUGGAGCUGGAUGGUAGAAGAAUUCGGGUGGAUUAUUCUAUAACCAAGAGAGCGCACACACCAACACCAGGCAUCUACAUGGGCAGACCAACUC
rnacentral:sRNA from 1 species